GUCGAUUUUUGGCUUUUUGGGUAAUGAUCAAAUGUAGUGUCUUGUUCUUAUCGGUUUAAUGUCUGUGUGUGUUCUGAAUUUGACAACGGAGUGUUAAACGCGUUUUUGGAAGGAGGAAGCGAUGAUGGUGGCUAGGUUUGUUUUCUGCACUUGUCUACCUGGUAGUGUAGUAUUUCCAGGAAUGGUGGUGCCCUU